AAAGUACUCCCUCUGUCCCAAAAUUCUUGUCUUAGAUUUGUCUAGAUACGGAUGUAUCAAGUCACAUUUUAGUAUUAGAUACAUCUGUAUCUAGACAAAUCUAAGACAAGAAAUUUGGGACAGAGGGAGUACUUG
rnacentral:pre_miRNA from 1 species